rnacentral:rRNA from 1 species
UUCCGGUUGACCCGCCGGACCCCACUGCUAUCGGGAUGAGACUAAGACAUGCUAGUCGUGCGCUUCCAAGCCACGGUGGAAGCGCGGCGCACAGCUCAGUAGCACAUGGCUAACCUACCCUUGGGACAAGGACAACCCCGGGAAACUGGGGCUAAUCCUUGAUAGGUGAGGGCUCCUGGAAUGGACCCUUGCCCAAAAGGUGCUUAGACCAUGCUUCAAGGCACCGCCCAAGGAUGGGGCCGUGCCCGAUCAGGUUGUUGGUGAGGUAACGGCUCACCAAGCCUUUGACCGGUGCGGGCCGUGGGAGCGGGAGCCCGGAGAUGGGCACUGAGACAAGGGCCCAGGCCCUACGGGGCGCAGCAGUCGCGAAAACUCCGCAAUACACGAAAGUGUGACGGGGUCAUCCCGAGUGCCGUCCGCUGAGGACGGCUUUUCCCCAGUGUAGAUAGCUGGGGGAAUAAGGAGAGGGCAAGUCUGGUGUCAGCCGCCGCGGUAAUACCAGCUCUCCGAGUGGUGGGGACGCUUAUUGGGCCUAAAGCAUCCGUAGCCGGCUGGACAAGUCCCCCGUUAAAUCCAGCGAUUCAAUCGUUGGACUGCAGGGGAUACUGCCCAGCUAGGGGACGGGAAAGGCCGACGGUAUUCCCGGGGUAGGGGUGAAAUCCUAUAAUCCCGGGAGGACCACCAGUGGCGAAAGCUGUCGGCUGGAACGCGCCCGACGGUGAGGGAUGAAAGCUGGGGGAGCAAACCGGAUUAGAUACCCGGGUAGUCCCAGCCGUAAACGAUGCAAGCUAGGUGUUCGAGUGGCUACGUGCCACUCGAGUGCCGCAGGGAAGCCGAUAAGCUUGCCGCCUGGGGAGUACGGCCGCA